rnacentral:lncRNA from 1 species
AUGUUUAGCAGGAUUAUGAAGACUUCAGGCAUUUUGGGGAACUCCCAUGAAAAUGUCACUUGGAGUUGGCUGGCUGAGUGGUAGUGUUAUUACUCUUGGUUAUAAGAGUUGAAUAUAAGAUAGAUUUGAGUAUUAUUUUUAAAUGUUAAUUAAACGUCACCAUGUUGAGGGGACAGUGUAGGAACCCAGGCUGAGGUGCUAAGGACUGAUGUUUCACUUUACUGUUACUUGGUAAUAGGUUUUUGUUCAUAUGAUAAGUAUGGAUUUAAUAUUGAGAUAGAAAAAGUAGAAGUGGAUUGCAGUUCAGAAACUGCCCUGUUUCCCUUUUCCCUUCUGUUUUUCUUUUAGUAAAGUUAUUAAACUUUCCCUUUCCUUAGUUUCUAGAGUUGUUUCAGGGCAUCUUGGUGAGGCAGGAUGUAAGGCUUUUUGCUGAAUCAAAAGCUACUCCUGUUUCUCCAGUUUCCCAGGUGAG